rnacentral:rRNA from 1 species
GCCAACUGUGUGAAUUAAUGUAAACUGCAUACUGCUUUGAACAUCGACAUCUUGAACGCAUAUUGCGGCCAUGGGUUAGCCUGUGGCCACGCCUGUCCGAGGGUCGGCUUAUGA